UACGGGGGGGGCAAGCGUUGUUCGGAAUUACUGGGCGUAAAGGGCUCGUAGGUGGCCAACUAAGUCAGACGUGAAAUCCCUCGGCUUAACCGGGGAACUGCAUCUGAUACUGGAUGGCUUGAGUUUGGGAGAGGGACGCGGAAUUCCAGGUGUAGCGGUGAAAUGCGUAGAUAUCUGGAGGAACACCGGUGACGAAGGCGGCGUCCUGGACCAACACUGACACUGAGGAGCGAAAGCCAGGGGAGCAAACGGG
rnacentral:rRNA from 1 species